rnacentral:rRNA from 1 species
GACGAACGCUGGCGGCGUGCUUAACACAUGCAAGUCGAACGGAAAGGCCCUGCUUUUGUGGGGUGCUCGAGUGGCGAACGGGUGAGUAACACGUGAGUAACCUGCCCUUGACUUUGGGAUAACUUCAGGAAACUGGGGCUAAUAUCGGAUAGGAGCUCCUGCUGCAUGGUGGGGGUUGGAAAGUUUCGGCGGUUGGGGAUGGACUCGCGGCUUAUCAGCUUGUUGGUGGGGUAGGGGCUUACCAAGGCUUUGACGGGUAGCCGGCCUGAGAGGGUGACCGGCCACAUUGGGACUGAGGGACGGACCAGACUCCUACGGGAGGCAGCAGUGGGGAAUAUUGCACAAUGGGCGGAAGCCUGAUGCAGCAACGCCGCGUGCGGGAUGACGGCCUGCGGGUUGUAAACCGCUUUCGCCUGUGACGAAGCGUGAGUGACGGUAAUGAGUAAAGAAGCACCGGCUAACUACGUG